GCCAGAGAAUCGACACAAUUCCAGAAGCAAAAACGAAAUUGCAGAUUGAUUAAAGAGAAUGAUUUACCGGAAAUGGAGUUUGCUGACCGGACCGGUCACUAUUCUGGCCGGAAUCUGCGGGACAGUGACUGCUGCUCAGCUUAUCUUCUUUGACAACGAAUUGCUAUGGAAGAAAAGAAAUCUACCGAAGGACUCAGGCUCAUCUUCAACCACAUCAUCUUCUUAGAAAGCUCGAAUGAGGUUUUUCUUUUGUGGGGUGGUCUCCAUCGUUUAAUAAACAUACCGUUCCAUGUUAUAAUCGACAUUGAAAUGACUCGUUGCUCUUUUGUGCAGCCGAACAAUUCUCUAUUCAUAUAAUAUUUCCUGGCUUAGUUUGUAGCAGGAGAUUAAGGCUUGUUUCGAGGUUUUUUUUCACUAUGAUAAUUCUUCCCAAUGUUAUAUAAUAAUUUGCAUUGUUCAUCCAAUUCUGUGAUUCUGCCUCUCAUAAACCAACUUGUUCUUGAUCAGUUAUUUAACAUAGGAUUCAUUUAUAUCUGAAAUUGGUGAAAUUAUUGCUUUGAAAUUAUUGUUUCCAUGUUAUGUUAAAAAUGAGAAAGUUUGCAGGGACACCAAGAAAUGAUCUUUCUUUAAUGGCCUUCAAUGUCUGUGUUUCGAAAUCUGAUUUUCUGUUGUUGAUAAUGCUCAAAUAUACAAAUUUGUUCUCAAUCCAUGAUCGAAAGGUAUUCAGUUUCUAACGCCUCAGUAGUAAGGUUGUACUAAAUCAGUAUUUCUUACAGACAGCCCUCUUCUUACUUCAGCUUCCUCGGCGACAACCCGAGGUCGUUGCAAAGUCCAAUUUAGGCAGCUGCAGCUUUCGGGGCUCUCAUGCCGAAUCCGCGCUUCAUUCUCUCCACACUGUGACAUCAGCAACGCAGGUCAGAUUCAAGACAACAAAGCCAGAGACAGGUAGAAAUAUAAUGUCCCAGGUUGUGUUAGGUACUUACGUCGGCGCAAGCUUCCCGAGACCAUCGAGCUCCUCGCCAGUGUCCUCGUCCAGCACUCGUCCGGAAAUCUCGAUGAUGAAAGAACGGUCCCUCUCCGUCGGGAGCCCUCUGCUUCCCAGCAAUGUCAGAUCUUUCUGGUUCAGCUCUCUCCCGUUCACGAACACGCCCGUGUUCCCGCCUGCGCAACCAUCUGGCAUCGGGUAGUUCAAUUCCUCGAUAAAUGGCUGCGGUAAAGAAAACGACAAUGGGAAAAGACAGCGAUGAUCAACAAAUCGACAGUUGAGAGCUCGACGACGCUUACAGGGAUUAUGCCGAGACAAGGGCCUCCCAUAACUCCCCAGAAUCCGGCGCGAAAGUCGUACCUGUUUCAAGAUCGGAUAUUAUCAUAUCGUGAAAUCGGGAAAUUGGGCGAUGAAGAGGGUGCAAGCUUUACCAGUAAUGCCCCGGGUGGAUCGGUCCGGCGACUUUCUCCGCCUUCUUGAUCGUCCGGUUGGUAAUCAGAUGGCCAUUCACUGUGACGCUAGCUUUCUCGUCGUUCCAUUUGUCUUUAAAGCUCUUCUUUAUAAUGCCGGCGAAGAAUGACUCGGCUCCUCUGCUACCCUUCAGCUGAUCACCUUCCCGGCUUCCUUCCCCGGAAUCGAACGUGGCCCCGGUGUUGCCAAACUCGUUUGACGACAAAUCGAUCUCCGUCGCCGCCGAUAUCUGUCGACUCGUCGCCUUGCUCGUGAUCCUGAAGAGACGAGCCUAGAGGAGGCGAACAUCGCUUGUUCUUCGUCGACAGGUCAGCUGAUCCCGAAUCUUCGUCCGCCUCGGAAGCAUACGUCGACGUCGAACGGCGGUUGCUUCCCUGCCGGGUCACCGGCUGUUCGGAUUCUCUAACCGUGGCGCAGAAAUCGUACCCGUAGUUAUCGUAAUCCUCGGACGAGAAGGUUGUCCGAACUUGGCUCGGGUGCUUCGCUAGUAUAUCCUCGACUUCGUUGGGAUUAUUGUCCUCCGCCUCAACCUCGUACGAGACGACUAAACUCCUGUCCGAGACCGUGAAUAUGAUCAGCGACGAGCACGCGCCGCAUCUCAUUCUCUUCCUACCGUCGUCCUUCACCAGAACUCUCUUUGGCAGCAGCAGCAGCUCAAAACAAUUGUUGCAAGUCAAGAUCGGUACGCCGCCGGCGACAGGGCGGCGGUGCUUCCCGCCGGCGAGAAAAUGCACUCGAGGAGGAGGACGGCGUCGUGGCAAGAAACCAUCAAUGUCGGAGUCGACGUCGCUCGGCCAUCUUGUCUGGGCAUUUUGAAUCCUCCCGGGACGACGAUGGUUACCGUAAGUACGGGAUCCAAAUGACCCGGGAUUGUCGAGAUACCCGAAAACCCCGUCAUAUGGCAUCGCCGGCAUUUUCUGGAAGCAUCGGUAACACGAGCAAGUCGGAUGAUGCCCGCCGAAAUCCGGCGGAUACGAUGGCUCCACGUAAGCCAUCGUGUCGUCCCGGUAGGGUCCCGACCUAUAUGGCCUCGACGGGUACAUUUGGUAUGCUGCCGAAGGCCUUCUAUGGACCUGCGACAUCGACGGAUCGCCGUAUCCCGGAACGUGCCGCGUCGACGGAUAAAAAUGCGCCCCGAUUUCCGGCCUAUGCAUCGACGGCGGCGGUUCGACGUACUGAUUCCUUGCGAACGGAAAAUCGGGAUAGGGAUUUUGCAUCGAGGCGCGACGAUCGUCAGGAUGAUGCCAAUAAGGAUCGAUCCUUCUCGACUCGUGGGGGAUCUUUUCUUUCCCUUUGUCGCCCAAAUUCCCCGAUCGGCUCAGCUGAUCUUUCAGCUCGUCGAGCUUCUUUAGAAGCUCGGCUCGAUCGCGACCUACAUUGUCGAAUUCUUCGACGACGGCAAUGUUGUUGGUCCCGUUUCGAGCUGCGGUUUCGUCGCUGUAGCUCGACGGAUUCGACGAAGACGACGGCCCGAUAGGUUCUUCCUUCUCCAUCCUCCUCCAUGAGCCAUUUGUUUGGCAUUCCUUCCCUAUCCUUACAUCCUCGUUUUCUCUGAAACCUCGAUCAAUUUCAGAACAAUGUUCGUCGACAACUAACCCUGUCUCCUUAGUAAUCGAGUUUUCUCGAAUCUCGCCGGCGCCGGCGGUACGGCUGAAGGAACUAACGCUGGAGCGGACAUCGCUCUCGGAGCCGUCACUCGUGUCCAAGGCUCUUCUGUCUGAAACAUCCACAAUUUUGUCGUAUCCAUCAGUGAGCUUCUCUGCGGUUCCUACAAUUCCUUCAGACCUCUCGCUAGAAUUGACGUUUUUGUUCUUAGCUGAAGACAGAAUAAUAAUAACACAGAAAGAAAGCACAAUAAUCGAAUCAACAGCCGUACACAAAAAACAGUAACGAGUGCAGAGAGAGAAGAAGAGAUCCAAGUUUGUUAGAGAUUAAGGAUGAAGGAAGCAGAUAUGACCACAAACCUAAUCAAAAAGGGGGAAAAACAGAUAA